AUUGAACGCUGGCGGCAGGCCUAACACAUGCAAGUCGAGCGGAUGAAGGGAGCUUGCUCCUGGAUUCAGCGGCGGACGGGUGUGUAAUGCCUAUGAAUCUGCCUGGUAGUGGGGGAUAACGUCCGGAAACGGGCGCUAAUACCGCAUACGUCCUGAGGGAGAAAGUGGGGGAUCUUCGGACCUCACGCUAUCAGAUGAGCCUAGGCCGGAUUAGCUAGUUGGUGGGGUAAAGGCCUACCAAGGCGACGAUCCGUAACUGGUCUGGGAGGAUGAUCAGUCACACGGGAACUGAGACACGGUCCAGACUCCUCCGGGAGGCAGCAGUGGGGAAUAUUGGACAAUGGGCGAAAGCCUGAUCCAGCCAUGCCGCGUGUGUGAAGAAGGUCUUCGGAUUGUAAAGCACUUUAAGUUGGGAGGAAGGGCAGUAAGUUAAUACCUUGCUGUUUUGACGUUACCAACAGAAUAAGCACCGGCUAACUUCGUG
rnacentral:rRNA from 1 species